rnacentral:sRNA from 1 species
UACAUGGCUGGGUGCAUCUUCUUGCUC